rnacentral:lncRNA from 1 species
GGGCACGCGCGGGCUACCGGGGCGGAGGCGUACGGGGGCGGCGAGCGGGGCUCGGCUCCUCCUCGUCCCGCGCCAGCGCCGCGCCCGGCCGCAUUCUCGGGGCCCGAGGCUCAGCCGCUCGCGGUGGAGAAAGCAGGCCGCGGAGGAGGCGGGCGCCCAGGCCUGCCCGGACAGGAAGUGGGCCCAGCUUUCCCACUCCUCGCUCCGCUCCUUCCUCCGCGGGAAGGGCAGGCCCCGGAGGCAGCGAGCGCCCCGGGGGUGGCCGGGCAGCCGGAUGCUCCCGGGGUUGCGGGCUGUGGCCCCGGGGGCUGAGGGCGGCGCGGGUGCGGCGGAAGCAGGGAAGCCGCGAACCGGCCUUCUGGCUGGCCACAGCGCCCUGCACGGACGAUCAGUGAAUGGAGAUUACUCAAGUAUUUAUCGAGAACUUGCAGUGGGCUAGGCACAGUUCAGGUAGAUCAACAAACCGAAAGACCCUGCCCUAGGGGAGCUUUCGCUCCAAUGCGGGGAGAGGGUGGAUGAUUGCAGUUUUGCCCAGUAAUUUUUGGGACCCUCAUGCCACCAUUAAUUAGCUACACACAUUUCACCGAAAGUCUACCUUACAUAUUAAUCAGAAGAAGUGGAAGAAUAAACACAGAAGAAGCAAAAAAGGAAGGAACUUUCUCACUGAAAGUUUCUAUUUAAUAUUAAGUCUUAAAAGUACUCCUGGAAGGACAAAAGGUGUUCUUAAUAAAUUAUAUUCGCAAAUAUUGGAUUUAAUCCUACCAGUAAUGAAGCAGUCAGUUACUUUCUAGAUGUGCAGAAAUACGUAAUGAACAAAAAAAACUAAUUCCUAUUCCAUUUUUUAUUAGGUCCACAGUUAUUUCACUUCUAAAUAAAUAUGGUUUUUUAAAAGUGGCACGCGGUGGAAUGUAAUUGAGACAGGAUGGAGUUCCUAGAGAAAUUUUACUUCCUCAAUCUGCACUCCACCUUACUUAAAAUACAGUCUUGGGUCUGUAAUUCCCUUAUCUGACUCUCAAGGAAAUGACAAAGUAAUGCCUAGAUUGGACUAAACCUCAUUUAACUUCAAGGCUGACCUUUCUCAAAGUUGAACCUUCGUCUUGUGAGGAACAGAAAGAUCAAGAACUCUGAAGCACCUCGACUUUCCACCUGUGAAGAUGUGUUCAAAUUUGCAACGUGCGGCCACACCUAUGAGGUCACUCCCUCUGGAGGAAACCAGCUGCCACUUUGUGAGGAUACUCAUAGUCCUGUGGAGGCAUAUCCUCCAUAUGGCUGAGACCUCCUGCGAACAACCAUCACUGACUUGCCAGACAUGAGUGUGCCACCUUGGAAGCAGAUUUUCCAGCCCCAGUUAAGCCUUCAGAUGACAUCAGCCCCUGCUAAUCUCUUGACUACAACCUCAUGAGAGACCCUGAGCCAGAACUAGCCAGGCUUACCCCUCAUGGUUACAAAGUGGCUGCAACAGCUCCAGGUGUUCUAUCCUUUAACACAGAAUAACUCAAACAACAAGACCCAAUAUUCAGACAAGAAGGAAAGGGACUUUUGGAGAGUGAAGAAAACUUUCCUAGAAACCUCAAACUUCUCCCCAUGCCUUAUUGGCCAGAUUGUAUCCCAUGCCCAUUUCUAAACCAAUCAUUGGCAAAGUGAGUGGAAUUGACGUGAUUAGAUUAACUUUACCAAGAAUGCAUCCUCAGAGAGGCUGAGAAAAAGUCCAGCCUCCUUUGAAGAGCCUGGCUACCUUUCACCUGAACAAAACAAGAAUUCUGAUGAAAAAUGGAGAAUGUAUGUGGAGCAGGCACCCGGAGUGUCUAUGCCAGGAUUUUUUUUCAGUGCGUUUCACCGGUUAUAUUUUUGUCUCUUUACCUUACAAGAUAUGUGGCACGUUUGCCUAAAACAAGCCUUGCUUUCUGAUUUCUGUGCACUAGGCACUUAAACCUUGCAAAUGUCGCUUACCUAACAGUCACUGUCAAGGAGUACCUGGCUAAAGAAUCUCCAGCUAGACAAAGUAGAAGUGUCUGUGCUCUGGCAGUUGAAUAUAUUGUAUCAGGCUCAACAGCACCUUUCACCAAAGGAUGAGACUUCACAACCAUUAGAUCUUCUUUUAUUUUGUUUUUAUUAAAAAAAAAAAUUUUAACACACCAUUGCUAACUUGAAGCCAUUAGAUCUUCUUACCCCCAAUACCACAAAAGUUUAGUGGAAUCAGGGGUAUACCAAGGCAGGUGGAGUAGGGGAGCUGGGAGUGGUCAGCCCCCAGGGCAGGCAAUGAGGGAUUGUGAAUCUGUGAAGAAUUUUAAAGCAAUGAUACAGCUCUAAAUGCAAUGUACUAUCCUGGACUUAGCCCUGGAAAAGAAAAAAGAUAUUAGUGGAAAAACUGGUAAAAUUCAAAUAAUGUCUGUAGUUUGGUUAAUAGUAUUAUACCAAUGUUAAUUUCUGUGUUUUGAUAAAUGUACCAUGGUUAUGUAAGCUGGAUGAAAGAUAUGUGGGAAAUCUCUCUACUAUUUCUGCAACUCUCCUGUAAACCUAAAAAUGUUUCAAAAUAAAAGAUUUAAUGCUAAAAUUGAAAAAAAAAAAAAAA